rnacentral:piRNA from 1 species
UGCAGUUUUAAAUGUGAUUUUUUGCUGGGU